AACUUAACUAUGAACAGAAGAGUAGAUUUAUCACAACAGCAAAGCGAGUUACGGAUAGUGUGAGCGUAGCCUAGUUGAUAAUCGAACCACACCUGGGAGUUGAAUUUCUGAAAGAAGUAAGAAGUUCCGGUAAUGCCGUUAUCAUUUAAGUUAUUUAUAACUUACUGAGGUAUUGCUAUGUGAAUAGCGUACGAACCAGAGGUGGAACCACGAUGAAUCGUCCUCUUA
rnacentral:ncRNA from 1 species